rnacentral:rRNA from 1 species
CGGACGGGUGAGUAAUGUAUGGGGAUCUGCCCGAUGGAGGGGGAUAACUACUGGAAACGGUAGCUAAUACCGCAUAACGUCGCAAGACCAAAGAGGGGGACCUUAGGGCCUCUUGCCAUCGGAUGUGCCCAGAUGGGAUUAGCUAGUAGGUGGGGUAAUGGCUCACCUAGGCGACGAUCCCUAGCUGGUCUGAGAGGAUGACCAGCCACACUGGAACUGAGACACGGUCCAG